GGUCAAGCAAAAAAGAGCAUACGGCGAAUGCCUAGGUGCUGCAGGCCGAAGAAGGACGCGGCAAGCUGCGAAAAGCCACGGGAAGCCGCAAGCAGGCAACGAUCCGUGGAUAUCCGAAUGGGGCAACCCGGCGAGGAAAACCCUCGUCACCUAUAACCGAAUCCAUAGGUUAUAGGAGGGCACCAGGGGAACUGAAACAUCUUAGUACCCUGAGGAAAAGAAAGCAACAGCGAUUCCCCGAGUAGCGGCGAGCGAAAAGGGACCAGCCAAAACCUAAACUGCUUGCAGAUUAGGGGUAGCGGGACACUCAUCACAAACCAUUGCUUUAGCCGAAGUGGUCUGGAAAGACCCGUCACAGAAGGUAACAACCCUGUAGGCGAAAAGGCGAGAAGUUUAGAGUGGAUCCCAAGUACUGCGGGACACGAGGAACCCCGUGGGAAACAGGGAGGACCACCUCCCAAGGCUAAAUACCUGCAGCAACCGAUAGUGAUAAGUACCGUGAGGGAAAGGUGAAAAGCACCCCGGAAGGGGAGUGAAAAAGAACCUGAAACCGUAUGCUUACAAGCCAGUCGAAGCACGUUAAAAGUGUGACGGCGUACUUUUUGUAGAACGGACCGGCGAGUUACAUCUAACGGGCAAGGUUAAGUCAGAAAAGACGGAGCCGAAGCGAAAGCAAGUCUUAAUAGGGCGGCAAGUCCGUUGGAGUAGACCCGAAACCGGGUGAUCUACCCAUGUUCAGAGUGAAGCUUUAGUAAAAUAAAGUGGAGGCUCGAACCGACCUUCGUUGAAAAGGAGGCGGAUGAAACGUGGGUAGAGGUGAAAUGCCAAUCGAACCCGGAGAUAGCUGGUUCUCCUCGAAAUAGCUUUAGGGCUAGCCUUGAGAAAAAAAUCCGGAGGUAGAGCACUGACUGGGCUAGGGGCCUUCACCGGUUACCGAACUCAAUCAAACUCCGAAUGCCGGAUUAAAACAUACUCAAGAGUCAGACUAUGGGUGCUAAGGUUCAUAGUCAAAAGGGAAACAGCCCAGACCGUCGGCUAAGGUCCCAAAGACAUGCUAAGUGGAAAAGGAUGUGGGGUUGCACAGACAACCAGGAUGUUGGCUUAGAAGCAGCCACCAUUCAAAGAGUGCGUAAUAGCUCACUGGUCAAGUGGCCCUGCGCCGAAAAUGUAACGGGGCUAAAGCAUGUCACCGAAGCCACGGAUGUCGCAAGACAUGGUAGAGGAGCGUUCCAUAUGCAGCGAAGUCGUACCGUAAGGAGCGGUGGAGCGUAUGGAAGUGAGAAUGCCGGUAUAAGUAAGCGAAAAGGCAGGUGAGAAUCCUGCCCGCCGAAAACCUAAGGAUUCCUGGGGAAGGCUCGUCCGCCCAGGGUAAGCCGGGACCUAAGCCGAGGCCGAAAGGCGUAGGCGAUGGACAAUAGGUUGAAAAUCCUAUGCCACCAAAAGUCGUUAUCAGGAUGGGGUGACACAGGAGGGAAGGCCAAGCGCGCGGAUGGAAAAGCGCGUCCAAGCUCGUAGGGCGUCAGAUAGGCAAAUCCGUCUGACACAAAGCCUGAGAAGUGAUGGGGAGGGAAAACAAGUACCGAAGUGGUUGAACCCAUACUGUCAAGAAAAACCUCUAACGAGACUCAUUGGUGCCCGUACCGCAAACCGACACAGGUAGGUAGGGUGAGAAUCCUAAGGCGCGCGAGAGAACCCUCGUUAAGGAACUCGGCAAAAUGACCCCGUAACUUCGGGAGAAGGGGUGCCUCAUUAACGUGAAGAUUUAUACAUUCGGAGCGUGAAGAGGCCGCAGAGAAAAGGCCCAAGCGACUGUUUACCAAAAACACAGGUUCCUGCUAAAUCGCUAAGAUGAAGUAUAGGAGCUGACGCCUGCCCGGUGCCGGAAGGUUAAGAGGAGAGGUCAGGGGAAACUCGAAGCUUUGAAUUGAAGCCCCGGUAAACGGCGGCCGUAACUAUAACGGUCCUAAGGUAGCGAAAUUCCUUGUCAGGUAAGUUCUGACCCGCACGAAAGGCGUAACGAUUUGGGCACUGUCUCAACGAGGGGCUCGGUGAAAUUGAACUGCCGGUAAAGAUGCCGGCUAACUGCGAUAGGACAGAAAGACCCCGUGGAGCUUUACUGCAGCUUGAUAUUGGAUUUUGGUAUUGCAUGUACAGGAUAGGUGGGAGGCGGAGAAGCCAGGGCGCCAGCCUUGGCGGAGCCAACGUUGGGAUACCACCCUUGCAGUAUUGAAGUUCUAACAUACGGCCUUGAAUCAGGCCGGUGGACAUUGUCAGGCGGGCAGUUUGACUGGGGCGGUCGCCUCCCAAAAAGUAACGGAGGCGCCCAAAGGUUCCCUCAGCGCGGUUGGAAAUCGCGCUCACAGAGUGCAAAGGCAAAAGGGAGCUUGACUGCGAGACAUACAGGUCGAGCAGGGACGAAAGUCGGGCUUAGUGAUCCGGCGGUAUCGAGUGGAAGAGCCGUCGCUCAACGGAUAAAAGCUACCCCGGGGAUAACAGGCUUAUCUCCCCCAAGAGUUCACAUCGACGGGGAGGUUUGGCACCUCGAUGUCGGCUCAUCGCAUCCUGGGGCUGUAGUAGGUCCCAAGGGUUGGGCUGUUCGCCCAUUAAAGCGGUACGUGAGCUGGGUUCAGAACGUCGUGAGACAGUUCGGUCCCUAUCCAUCGCAGUCGCAGGAAACUUGCAAGGAGCUGUCCCUAGUACGAGAGGACCGGGAUGGACGGAUCACUGGUGUACCGGUUGUCGCGCCAGCGGCAAUGCCGGGUAGUUAUAUCCGGAAGGGAUAAGCGCUGAAAGCAUCUAAGCGCGAAGCCCACCUUAAGAUUAGGUUUCCCUUCUAAAAGAAUAAGACCCCUGGAAGACCACCAGGUAGAUAGGCCGGGUGUGUAAGCAUAGUAAUGUGUUUAGCUGACCGGUACUAAUAGGUCGAACGCUUGACCUA
rfam:Desulfotomaculum acetoxidans DSM 771, complete genome.